rnacentral:rRNA from 1 species
GUCUACGGCCAUGCCACCCUGAACAAGCCUGAUGUCUGAUCUCGGAAGCUAAGCAGGGUUGGGCCUGGCUAGUACUUGGAUGGGAGACCACCUGGGAAGACCAGGUGCUGUAGGCA